rnacentral:rRNA from 1 species
CACGUAGGGGGCAAGCGUUGUCCGGAUUUAUUGGGCGUAAAGAGCUCGUAGGCGGCUCAGUAAGUCAGGUGUGAAACCUCCAGGCUCAACCUGGAGACGCCACCUGAUACUGCUGUGGCUAGAGUCCGGUAGGGGAGCGUGGAAUUCCUGGUGUAGCGGUGAAAUGCGCAGAUAUCAGGAGGAACACCGGUGGCGAAGGCGGGUCUCUGGGCAGUAACUGACGCUGAGGAGCGAAAGCGUGGGGAGCGAACAGG